GAUGGCCCCGAAAAUUGACGGGGCUAAGCCAGCCACCGAUACCUCAGAACGCAGCAUACGCUGCGCUGGUAGGAAGGCGUCCUGGUUGGGCAGAAGCUGGGCUGUGAGGUCCAGUGGACCGAUCAGGAUUGCGAAUCCCGGUGGUAGUAACAGCAAAGAAAAGUGAGAAUCUUUUCCGCCGAAGGGGCCAGGGUUCCCCGGCAACGAUCGUCAGCCGGGGGUAAGUCGAUCCUAAGGCAUAACUUAACCGAUUAUGCCGAAAAAGGGAAUCCGGCUAAAAUUCCGGAACCAUAGAGGUACGCGCGGCAACGCAAGCUUAGUGUUGACGUUUCGGGGUAUGCUGAGCAAGGUCUUCGCCUUGUUUAACUGUAUAAAUCUGGGGAGUGUCGUAAUGACGAGAACUAGACGAAAUCAGGAAUAGCCACCCGUCUUAGGGAGGUUCAGCAGAUCUCUGGAGCCACUGAAAAACACACUAAGAAGGAUCCUUUAUGAUCGUACCUAGAACCGACACAGGUGUCCCUAGGCAAGAAACCUAAGGCGUGUCGGGUAUACACUAAUGCGAGGGAACUCGGCAAAUUAGCCCCGUACCUUUGGUAUAAGGGGUGCCUGUUCUUUCAGUCUAGUGCUGAGAGAGCAGGUCGCAGUGACAAAGGGGUCUCGACUGUUUAAUAAAAACACAGGAAGCCGCAAGAGCGAAAGCUUGUGAACGGCUUCUGAAUCCUGGCCAGUACAGGUACCUGAAACCUGGGUCCAACUGGGCUAAGGGCCUGCAAACGCCGGGAGUAACUCUGACUCUCUCAAGGUAGCCAAAUGCCUUGUCGGGUAAGUUCCGACGUGCAUGAAUGGAUCAACGAGGGCCCCACUGUCCCCGCGUAGUACCCGGUGAAACCACAUAACGUGGACGAACAGUCCACGAUCUCCCAGCGGGAAAAGAAGUCCCUGUGGAGUUUUACUGCAGCCUGCCGCUGGAAUACGGUUGUGGAUGCAGAGCGUAGUCGGGAGCCGUCGAUCUUGGGUUCUCCGGGACCCGGGGGAGGCAACAAUGGAACACCGACUUUCUGCAACCGUGUUUCUCACCGGCCCCUAGCGGGCUGGAACAACGGUAGGUGGGCAGUUCGGCUGGGGCGGCACGCCCUUGAAAAGAUAUCAAGGGCGCCCUAAGGUUGGCUCAGGAGGGACAGAAAUCCUCCGUAGAGUGCAAGGGCAAAAGCCAGCCUGACUGGAUCCCGAACAGUAAGGGAUGCAGAGGAGAAAUCCGGGCUUAGCGAUCAUCCAUGCUCCCCAUUGGUGGGGGCUGGAUGUGUCAGAAAAAUUACCCUAGGGAUAACAGGCUUGUCGCGGGCGAGAGUCCCCAUCGACCCCGCGGCUUGGUACCUCGAUGUCGGCUCUUCCUAUCCUGGCCCUGCAUAAGGGGCCAAGGGUGAGGCUGCUCGCCUAUUAAAAGGGAACGUGAGCUGGGUUUAGACCGUCGUGAGACAGGUUGGUUGCUAUCUAAUGGAAGUGUUAGUAGUCUGAGGGGAAGGUGGCUCCAGUACUAGAGGAACGAGUUGUCGGCGCCUCUG
rnacentral:rRNA from 1 species